CACUAGUAUCAGAUAUACAAGAUAAACCAGCACUACAUACACUGGUGCCAGUAAUAUACAAGGUAAACCAGCACUGCCACACCCUGGUACCAGUUAUAUAAAAGGUAAACCGGCACUACCACACACUGGUACCAGUUAUAUACAAGGUAAACCAGCACUGCCACACCCUGGUACCAGUUAUAUACAAGGUAAACCGGCACUGCCACACCCUGGUACCAGUUAUAUACAAGGUAAACCGGCACUGCCACACCCUGGUACCAGUUAUAUACAAGGUAAACCAGCACUACCACACACUGGUACCAGUUAUAUACAAGGUAAACCAGCACUGCCACAGCCUGGUACCA